CCACGCCCGAAGUCGUUACCCCAACUUUCGAGAGGGGGAUGCCUAAGGCAGUGCUGGUGACUGGGGUGAAGUCGUAACAAGGUAGCCGUACCGGAAGGUGUGGCUGGAUCACCUCCUUUUAGGGAGACCUACCCAACUUGAGACUUGAAAGCGAAGAGCGAAUAAAGAACAAGAUGGCCAACCUAGGUCGGUCGAGAUUGGUAAAAGCUUUCAAAGUAUUUGAUGGUUCGGUUUAAAAUUCAACCAAACCCACACAAAGGAAGAACAGCACCUAACGGGAAGUAGUUAAAAUGCUGGGGUGAUUCCUAGCCAGAACCUUGAAAACUGCAUAGAAACGCGAUUAAAAGCAGGCAGACACAGACAUGAAGAUGAAAGUGUUUGCAUGGAGAAAGCCGAAUGUAUUGAUUGUGGUCAAGCGAAAAAGGGCUCAUGGUGGAUACCUAGGCACACAGAGG
rnacentral:misc_RNA from 1 species